UGGGUGGCGGUUGAGACAGCGGCGGUACUGGGAUGGGUAGGUGAGGAUCCCGAGACUGAGUGAGCUUCUGCGCGCGGUGCUUUUGGGAACGCGGGACUGGCAACCUGCGGCGCCAGGAGCUGGGCCGAGGCGCGGCGGCGCGGCUGCGGGCCGCCGUCUGGAUGGGAAGUUACGGCGAAGUCCACCCAGCGUUUCUCAGGCAAUCUGAAGGCAAAUCCUGUUUAGACCCAGGCGAAGGUUCCUGGUGACCCAGGCUCUCACCAGCCAAUUGUCCCUUGCCGUCCUCCUGAGGGUAUCUGGAGCUUCAGUGCUGUGUGCUCUUGGCCUCCACACUGGGGAUGCCACUGACUCCCACUGUCCAGGGCUUCCAGUGGACUCUCCGAGGCCCUGAUGUAGAAACUUCCCCAUUCGGUGCACCAAGAGCAGCCUCACAUGGUGUGGGCCGACAUCAAGAGCUGCGAGAUCCAACAGUGUCCACAGAUCAGAAGUUCAGGCCUGGAUUCGCUGGGUCUUCUUCUCAGGGCCUCACAGGCUGAAAUUAGGCUGGGUUUCUUUCUGGAGGUUCUGGGGAAGAACAUCCUCUCAAGUUUCCUCAGGUUGUCAGCUGAGUUCAGUUCCUUGUGACUGUAGGACUGAGAUCUCUGUUUUCUUGCUGGCUGUCAGCCAGGGGCCUCUCGCUGCUCCUAGAGGCCUCCCAUGUUCCCACUGCAUGCUUCCUCCAGCCAGCAGAGGAGGAUCGCCCUGCAUGGAAACCCUCCUGCACUUCACAUCUCUCCAGGAAGUCCUCAGUCCCUCCAAGGAACUCACCUUCACUAGGUCAAGCUCAUCAGAUAAUCUGUCUAUCUUAAAUUUGACCGAUUUGGGAUCUCGAUUACAUCUGUUAACUUGUUUUUGCCAUAAAUUGUAACACAAUCGCAGGAGUGACAUCUCCUCAGUGGCUUUGUCUACACUCAGGAAGAAGUGAUUAUAUAAGAGCAAAGAUCACUGAGGGUCAUCUUAGGAUUCUGUCUACCAUAAUAUUAUAAAGACACAGUAAUUAAAAGAGUAUAACAGAUUUCUGCUUCUGUCUGUUAGAAUAAAUCAUAUCAGACUAACCCUGCCUCCAUAAACAACCGUAAAAUUGUUUUCAGCAGUGUACGACAGGCAGUACAACAGAAAACUUAAGGGGGAAGCCCCAUGAUUUCCUAGUUCUUUGGGGAGAAUUUCUCAGCAGCUGCAUAGUGGGCUAGAGUCCACUCAGGGCAGGGCAGCCCACUGAGCUGAGAAGGCAGAGAUCAGAGUUCAAGACCAUUGAAGCAACUGCAAUCUGCAGGGCAGGGCACCAAUGAGGAGACAGCUGAUCAAAGGUGCAGCUCUCAAAGUCUAUGUGGGGUUCCAUAUGCAUCCUUAUCAAGGACUGGACUGUACCUGCACAAGGAAAAGACUAACAGAUUUAACAGAGGGGUGGCUGCUAUAAAAUUGAGUUUGGACCAGAGGUACUUGAGGCGGAGGAGGGUUGGGGAAUGUAUGAUGGAGUUUCUGCCAUCCACGGUGGGAAGAACUCAUGCACACCUCAUUAGCACCCAGGUAUCCAACUGAGACACUAGAAUGGAUGUGCUUUAGGAAUAAGUGUCACACUUUUCAAUAAGGCCUAUUGUUCACCAACCUGGUAAAGCCUAAAGCCAAACCCUGACAAAAUCCACAAAGGGGUGGAUUGGUGAUUGAGUCCUGCCAAAUUAGAGGGUCUUGGGAAAUUCUGUGGGCUUUCCAUGAAUCCGUUGUAAUAAAACAUAAACCAGUCCACAUAAGUCCAAAGUGAUCGAUCAGACAGUAAUUUUACGCCCACUAGAGCAAAAUUAAUUCACACAAUCAAUGACACAAGUUAGCCAAGUCGACAUUUAAGCAAAAUACAUCUAAGAACAGCUAACAAAUAACUCUCCUCAAACUCACAUAGAGCAUUCACCAAGAUAGACCACAUAUGCUGAGCCAUCCUUAGUAUUUUCUGUCCUUUCUCUUUGACUCGUGUAUACUGUGCUCAAACUCUUAAAAUUAUACACUUUAAUUAUAUACUUUAAUGAUUAUACACUUUCAUGCAUCUCAAUUGCAUGUAAGUUAUAUUUCAAUAUAUUUGUUAAAAGUUUAUAAUUAAAAAAACUGUCCUAGCUUGAUUCCAGAAAUCUUUUUUAUAUUUUAGAAAAUGUAAUGUUAUAUAUUAUCAGGGCAAAAGAGAAAAACCGUAUGAUUACCUUGUCAUACACAGUAAAAGCAUUUGGCAAAAUUGAAAAAUUUUUCAUGAUUUAUAAAAACAAACCCCAGAAAACUCAGCAUGAUAAGAAGAGAAGGCAACACUUCCAACCCUAUUAAGGGUAGAUUUGAAAAAAACUCACAGGUAACAUUAUAUUAAAUGGCAUGGGAUUGAAUGCUUUUCUAUUAAAUCAGAUAAAAAAGUAGAAUAUCUGUUGUUAUUCUUUCAAUUCAGCAUUAUACUAGAGAUCUAAAUCAGUGCAAUAAAGUAAGAAAAAUAAAAGUAUUGAAAAGAUUGAAAAGAAAGAAUUGAGGCUGUCUUUAUUCACAGAUAAUGACUGUGUAUGUUAAUAAUCCUAGAAAUCUGCAAAAAUCUGCCAAAGCUAAUUAGUGAGUUUGGUAAUGUUGCAGAGUAUAAGCUCAAUAGAAGUAGUCUUUUGUAUUUCUGUGUAUUAGCAAUGAGCAUUUGGAAAAUGAAAUAAAAAUACAAUUUCAUUUCAAGUAACUUCUAAAUACAUGUGCUUAUAAAUAAAUUCAACAGGCUGGGUCUGGUGGCUCACGUGUG
rnacentral:lncRNA from 1 species